rnacentral:rRNA from 1 species
UGGGGAAUUUUGGACAAUGGGCGCAAGCCUGAUCCAGCAAUGCCGCGUGAGUGAAGAAGGCCUUCGGGUUGUAAACCUCUUUCAGCAGGGACGAAGCGUAAGUGACGGUACCUGCAGAAGAAGCACCGGCCAACUACGUACCAGCAGCCGCGGUAAGACGUAGGGUGCGAGCGUUGUCCGGAUUUAUUGGGCGUAAAGAGCUCGUAGGCGGCUUGUCGCGUCGACUGUGAAAACCCGCAGCUCAACUGCGGGCCUGCAGUCGAUACGGGCAGGCUAGAGUUCGGUAGGGGAGACUGGAAUUCCUGGUGUAGCGGUGAAAUGCGCAGAUAUCAGGAGGAACACCGGUGGCGAAGGCGGGUCUCUGGGCCGAUACUGACGCUGAGGAGCGAAAGCGUGGGGAGCGAA